AGUAAAAGAGAUAUUACGGAGGAAGACUAGGGUAUAAGAAGCAGGUCGAAAGAACAUCGAAAGACCUAGGGGAGAAAAUCAGAACCUAGGAAGACCAAAGGGGGAAACCCCCAAGCAAGAGAACUCUGCGAACUGAAACAUCUAAGUAGCGGAAGGAAAAGAAAUCAAAAGAGAUUCAUGUAGUAGUGGCGAGCGAACCAUGAGAAGCCAAAAGCACAAGAACCGCAAGAACGAAGAGGGUAAGAGAGUCCCGUAAGGCGAAAAAGUGCGAAAGAGAGUAUAACAAAGCAAGGUUAGAAGAACGGGGAACCAAAACUCGAAGGCUAAAUAGACUUAUACACCGAUAGUGCACAAGUAACGUGAGUGAAAGUUGAAAAGACUAGCAAAGCUAAAGUGAAAGAGAACCGAAAACCGGAAUAUUAGAGCAGUCAAACAAGACGUACCUUUUGUAUAAUGGGCAUGCAAGUGAUAUGCUGUAGCAAGUCGCAAGACGUAGUGAAGACGAGAGAAGCAGUUACAGUAUAUCGGACCCGAAACUAAAUGAUCUACUCAUGGUCAGUUUGAACUGUGUUGUAACAGACCCAGGGAGGAACGAACACGUGAAUGUUGCAAUAUUCUGUGAAGAACUGUGAGUAGAGGUGAAAUGCCAAUCGAAUUUAGAGCUAGCUGGUUUUCUGCGAAAACUAUAGAGGUAGUGCCUUGUAUAUGAGUACCAAAGGUAGGGCAAUAGGGGGCGUCCAAGAGGAAGCCAAGAAUCACCGAAUGAGGGUACUACGAGUACAAGAGUCAGACUUAGAGCGAUAAGGUCCUAGGUCGAGAGGGAAACAACCCAGAAAAGAAGUUAAGGUCGUCAAGAACCACUAAGUGUGCAAGGACAGUAAGACAACAUAGACAACUAAAGAGUAGGCUUGGAACCAGCCAGCAAGAAAAGAACACGUAACAGUGCAUUAGGUUAAGUAGUCAUGCGCCAAAAAUAUAGGCGGCUAAGUGGAACACCGAAACUCUAGAAGCAAGGUAGCAGAACGUUUCGUAAACAACGAAAGUGACAAUGCAUGCAUGAGUAACUAAAAAAUCAAGAAACAAGAUUGACCGAAAGUUCAAGGAGUAAAGAAGCAGCACCUAAGUAAAAAAACCUGAAAAGGAAUGAACAAUGGAAACAAGAUAGGGAGUGAAGCCCAACUCACCACGAUGGAAGUGGAGCGCGAGAAGGAGCCGAAACAAUCAGGAAAAGCCCAUCUAAAGAAAACUGUACCAGUCUGCCACAAGUGAACAAGUAGAGAAUACAAAGGUCAAGGCACAACCACACUUAAGGAACUCGGCAAAAUGUCUCAGUAAGGCAACGAGAAUGAGAGCUAGAAAAGUAGCAUAAAAUAGCAAUGGCCGACUGUUUACCAAAAACACAGCUAUUCGCCAACACGUAAGUGGAAGUACGAGUAGCGAUCCCUGCCCAAUGGUCGUAUCCGAAACGAAAAGAUGAAAGUCAAAGCGAUAAGGACGACUAAAUGGCUGCGGUAACUCUGACCGUAAUAAUGUAGCGCAAUCAAUAGCCUAUUAAUUGUAGGCACGUAUGAAAGGGAACACGAGCUAUUGGCUGUCUCAAGGGUGGAGCUAGUGAAAUUGGAGUCGUAGUGAAGAUACUAUGAAAGACAUGACGGGACAAGAAGACCCUAGAAGCUUGAAUGUUAUCAUUGGUUGCUAUGUAUAGAAUACCAAAGUAGAGAAAUAGAGCAUCUUAAGAAACGAGUGAAAGACUAUAUGGAGAUUAGAGACAUAGCUAAGAUUAAUAAAAGAAAAUAAGACGACAUCCAAUGAGAGACAUUUUGAAUGGGGCGUUAGCCUUUUAAAACGUAACAAAGGUUUUCCAAGGUCUACAUAGAAGCGCAAUAGUAAAAGUAGGCUUGACUGUGAUGAAGGUAUUCAGAGCAGGGUCGCAAGACGGAUAUAGUGACCAGCCACAAUGCAAUGGUAGCAAGUGGCAAUAAGAAGGGAAGCUACUCUAGGGAUAACAGGGUAAUAGAGACCAAGAGUCCAUAUCUACGUCUCAGAUUGCCACCUCGAUGUUGAUUCUUCGCAUCCUGGGGCUGCAUAAGGUCCCAAGGGUAUUACUGUUCGUAAUGUAAUGCGGAACGUGAAUUGAGUUCAGAACGUCGUGAGACAGUUCGGCUUAUAUCUGUCAUGUCAGAGAGCCAAAAUACGCGAUCAUCAUUGUACGCAAGGAUCCGAUGGUCAGUCCCUCUGAUGUAUUUGUUGUCGUACCAAAACGGCAUAGCAAAGUAGUUACGGAUUAAAGGAUAAGAGUUGAAAGCAACUGAAACUCGAAACCUAAGUAAAAUAGGUUCAUAGGAUAGCACGAGAAGAGUGCAAAGAUAGGCGACAGGUGUACGAAGAGG
rnacentral:rRNA from 1 species